CCUGCGGAAGGAUCAUUACCGAGUGAGGGCCCUCUGGGUCCAACCUCCCACCCGUGUUUAUUUUACCUUGUUGCUUCGGCGGGCCCGCCUUAACUGGCCGCCGGGGGGCUUACGCCCCCGGGCCCGCGCCCGCCGAAGACACCCUCGAACUCUGUCUGAAGAUUGUAGUCUGAGUGAAAAUAUAAAUUAUUUAAAACUUUCAACAACGGAUCUCUUGGUUCCGGCAUCGAUGAAGAACGCAGCGAAAUGCGAUACGUAAUGUGAAUUGCAAAUUCAGUGAAUCAUCGAGUCUUUGAACGCACAUUGCGCCCCCUGGUAUUCCGGGGGGCAUGCCUGUCCGAGCGUCAUUGCUGCCCUCAAGCACGGCUUGUGUGUUGGGCCCCGUCCUCCGAUCCCGGGGGACGGGCCCGAAAGGCAGCGGCGGCACCGCGUCCGGUCCUCGAGCGUAUGGGGCUUUGUCACCCGCUCUGUAGGCCCGGCCGGCGCUUGCCGAUCAACCCAAAUUUUUAUCCAGGUUGACCUCGGAUCAGGUAGGGAUACCCGCUGAACUUAAGCAUAUCAAUAA
rnacentral:rRNA from 1 species